CACGUAGGGCGCAAGCGUUGUCCGGAAUUAUUGGGCGUAAAGAGCUCGUAGGCGGUCUGUUGCGUCCGCUGUGAAAACUCGGGGCUUAACCCCGAGCCUGCAGUGGAUACGGGCAGACUAGAGGUAGGUAGGGGAGAAUGGAAUUCCCGGUGUAGCGGUGAAAUGCGCAGAUAUCAGGAGGAACACCGGUGGCGAAGGCGACUCACUGGACACAUAUUGACGCUGAGGUGCGAAAGCGUGGGGAGCAAACAGG
rnacentral:rRNA from 1 species